rnacentral:rRNA from 1 species
ACGCUCGACACCUACGGAGGCAGCAGUGGGGAAUAUUGCACAAUGGGGGAAACCCUGAUGCAGCGACGCCGCGUGAGUGAAGAAGUAUUUCGGUAUGUAAAGCUCUAUCAGCAGGGAAGAAAAUGACGGUACCUGAGUAAGAAGCCCCGGCUAACUACGUGCCAGCAGCCGCGGUAAUCUGAGGCGGGCUGGCAAGGC